ensembl:lncRNA
CUCUGUCUGUGUCUGACGGGGUUUCCGAGCCCCGGCCACAGGGGGUCCGGGUGCUGCUGGGGUCAAAGUUCAGUGUCAAAUGCUCUGUGGAGCCACAGUACCCGGGAGGCUCCUUCCAGCUCCUCUCUCCCACUGUCCCCCUCGGUCAGAACCACACCCUGACCGCUGUCAAUCACUCCGCACACUUCCUGUUCUCUGACACUGGCCCCGCCCACAAAGGAAACUACACCUGUGUUUACCACCUGCAUGUGUUCAACCACAGCUUCUCCUCUCAGAGCCCCAGCCUCCAGCUCUCUCUGGGAGCUCCAGACUCAGACCUGAUCAUCAGAGUCCUGCUCAUUCUACUGUUGAAGCUCCUCUACAUCCUUCCAAUGUUCUACUACUACUGCAAGGUGCGGGCCAGAGGGGGCGCUAGAGAGACGACCUCGUAGGGCCUGGACUUAGACCGGUUCAGAUCCAUGUGAGACCAGGACUUAGACCAGUUCAGAUGUGAGCUCCUGGAUGCUCAGGACAUUUGUGUAAAUACAGAGUGACUUUAAAGUGUCCGACAGGUUUGGACGAUUCUCUCAUUUCAUCUGGAGGAUAAAACAUGUUUAAAUAUAAAUUAUACUUUUACACAAAACAAGAAGCAGUUUGUCUAGAAAACAUGAAAA